rnacentral:misc_RNA from 1 species
GNNGAAUCCUGCACAGCAGAACAACCUNNGAACSGGUUAAUAACCAACUGGGUAAUGGGGGGCAUGCCCCCUGUGCUCCCGAGUUCCGUUGCUCUUGGGUAGCCCAACGGGUCCAAGACUUCGUGAAGUAACGAAACCCGGCACGGAACGUGCCAAGGAACCUGAACAAGAGAUGUGCAGUCCUGCUACCCCCGUUCGCGGGGUGUCUCGGGAUCAACGCGCAAUCUUUUCUAUAAAUAUC